GACAGAGGGUGCAAACGUUGUUCGGAAUUACUGGGCGUAAAGCGUGUGUAGGCGGCUAGGUAAGUCGGGUGUGAAAACCCCGGGCUCAACUCGGGAAGUGCACUCGAUACUGCUUAGCUCGAGUACCGGAGAGGUUGGUGGAAUUCUCGGUGUAGAGGUGAAAUUCGUAGAUAUCGAGAGGAACACCGGUGGCGAAGGCGGCCAACUGGACGAGUACUGACGCUGAGACACGAAAGCGUGGGGAGCAAACAGG
rnacentral:rRNA from 1 species